UGGUUGUAGCCAAAUUGAAUGGUUGAGAAGUUUACUGGCCAGCCAUUGUGAGAUUUAUCUAAAUCUCUGUCAAUUAAUGGAUCUGCUUACCGAGCUUCUCACAUUU